ACUCCCCAUCUCUGGAGUCUCACCUUAGAGUCCUCUCCACCAGCAAAUCACUCUCGGCCUCCUCCCAACUUGGGUGUUUCCCCUGUUGCCCCAAGACCAGCUCUGAGAGCUGAGGUCAGGCCCCACCCAGCAUGUAGUAGGUGCUCAAUACGUGUUUGUUGAAUGUUUCAGCCAACAAACCAAGAAAGGCAUACAUAAAAAAUGUGGACAUGCAAGUUCAUGAACAUCCAUCUUCAUUCUCCUGGGAUCAGUAAGUUCACAUGAGGUGAGUAGGGAGGGGGCAGGGAGGAUGGAGGGGUGGCAGGGCACCAUCCUCAGAACAGCUCCAGCACACAGUAGGUGCUCAGAGAGUGUGGAUUUAGAGAAAACUGUGAGCCUAGCCAUGUAUCCAGGAGGUUCUAUAGAAGUAACACUGAGCAGGAUUUGGAGGCCUGAAAAAAUGUUCAUCAGCAGUCCAAAAAUGUCCCUUAAACAUCAGGGCACAUUGCCACCUGGCCCAACUUUGCCUAGCACACUGAAGAAGACGGUGUAGGACAUUUUCUGAAUGUGCACCCUCAUUCCAACUGUUUACAUCAUUAAUUCAUAUGGCCCAAUUUACAUCUGCACACCAACUCAAUACUUUUUAUGAUGCAAUUACUACUCAGAGAUGAAUUUUUUAUGAGUUUCCUUUUAAUGUCUCCAGGGCCUUUUAUUCUGAAGAAAACCUCCUUGUAGAAGAUGGCUAAUCUUUCUUACAGUGAAGAUUGAAAGCCUUCUUGUUCUCCCAGGCACAACCUAAAUGACACUUCUUCCAGGAAGCCUUUGCUGGCCUGGAUGAAUGGGGAGGUAGAGCUCCCCGUGUGAUGGGCAGCAAAGUAGGUUGGUGGUUAAGAGAACAAAAAGUGGGGUCAAAAUAACCUUGUUUCAGAUUCUCACUCCAGCACUUAGUAGCUGUGCAAACUUGAAUAAGUAACUCAACUUCUCUGAGCUCCAGAAACUUCAUCUCAGCAUAGGGUUCAAUAGCCUCUCUCCUAGACUUGCCUUUAGAAUGAGUGAGAUCUUACAGGCUAAGUACUUGGCACAGAGUUAGCACUCAUGAAAUAUCCACUACUAUUAAUAUAACACACUAGUACAACACAGCAGCUGGCAGUCAUCCACACAGAUAGGUUCACCUUUUUGGCCUCCAUAAUUCAUUUGGUGGUUAUGGGGAUAAAGGUGCAGGUGCUCACCCUCCCCCAGAGAGAUACAAAGCAUGUCUUAGGAGUUUAAUGUCCACAAGAUUUGGUAUACAUCAAAUUGUCUUUCUUUCUUUUUUCUUGAUCAUCACAGUGUUGAUCAGGUCUGUCUACCGAAUCAGGAAGGGGAAGCAGCAGGGGAAAAGGUAGAGGGAGGCCUGGGGAAGCAGUUUGCCCUGGGAUGAGGUGGUGAAGGCAGCCUGGAUUUGGACUCUGCUUCCUAGAGUUUCUGAGGUCUUGGGCUGGGAGGUGCCUUCUUUCCAUUUUACAGAUGUAACACUUUAGGUCCACAAAGGGGAGGGAAGGGGCUAAGGUCCUAUUGCUCCUCCCAGUGCCUGGAAUAACCCAUUUUUAGGGAAGCUUCCUCUGAAUGUCUAAGACACCCUGGAUUUCCUUUUCAAAACACUCUCCCAACUUCUCGUAAAGGCUUUUUCUUUUUCUUUUAUCCUCACACUUUAUAAUUAUCUAUCUUUCUCUAUUUUCCUUCUUUCUUUCUCUCUCAUCUAUCUACCUUUAUCUUCUUAUUUUUUAUUUGACAAAUAAAAAUUAUACACAUUUAUGGUGUAUAACACUGUAUUUUGAAAUAUGUAUACCCUAUGGAAUGGCCAUACCAAGCUAAUUAGCAUAUGUAUUACUGCACAUACUUAACAUUUAUUUGUAGUGAGAACACUUCAAAUCUAUUUUCUUAGCAAUUCUCAAGUACACAAUACAUUGUUAUUAACUAUAGUCACCCAUGCUGUAUAAUAGAUGCCUUGAAUUUAUUCCUCCUAACUGAAAUUUUGUAUUCUUUGACCAACAUCUCUAAAAUUUCCUUGCCAUAUUAUUGAUAAAACAUUACACAUUCCAAAAACAAAACAUUCAAAAUAAAACAUUCAAACAGCACAAAAACUCUCUCACCUCCUUGAACCCUAGUACCCCAGCUUUCUCACUGAGACACCAACUUUUCCCAAUUUCCUGCAGAUCCUUCCAGAGACCUUCUCUGCAAGAACCAAUAUAUCAAAGCCUAUCCAAGGCUCUUGUUUUGUACAAAUGGACACGAAGUGCAGUCUUUGCCUGUGCCUUCAUUUUUCUCACUUAGGUGUUUUUCUGUCACCUUAUAGGGAUCUGCUUCAUUUAAGGGCCACAUGGCAUCUCAUGCUAGAAUAAGCCAAAUUGCAUUUAAUCAAUCUAUCAAUGGACGUUUUGGUUGCUCCCAAAUCUUCAUCUAUUACUACAUUUUUAAUAUCUGCCUUUCCCACCUGACUGUAGACUUUAUGAGGAUAGUGCAGUCUGUGUCUAUUUUAUUUCUGUCUCUUCAAAGUAUAGUAUGGGGUGUCUGAAACAUGGUAGGUGCUCAAUAAAUAGUCCUUAGAUGGAUGGAUAAAAGGAUGGAUAGAUGGAUAGAUGGAUGGAUGGAUAGAUGGAUGGAUGAUGGAUGGAUGGAUGGAUGGAUGAUAAAUAGAUGGAUCGGUUAGUUGUAGAACCUGGACUAAGUCUCUGAUUCUCCUACCCCACUCUCUUGUGGCCUGAGGAACCCAGCUCUUUGGCAGUCUCACCCAAGGAAGCACGCAAUACAGAGUCCCCGUCUUCAGGCAGAGCCAACUGUGGAGACGAGCACAUGCUGUCCCGCUGUGCUCACAGCUCCAUGAGCAAUAGCAGGCUCCCAACCAAAGCUCUCCCUUGGACGCUCACAGAUAGCAGCGGCUUCCCAAGGCCUGCUGGGUGGAGUUGCACCACGUUAUGGAAACUUCUAUUUCUGCUUUAUAAAAACAAAGUAAGGAAAGGAAACCUGGCUCGGCAAGAGACACAUGCUGGCCCCGUGAGUCAUCCUUCUCCAAGCAAGACCAGCAAAUCCUCCCAAGACUGGGACCUUCACUGAGUCUUUGGCCAACAUGCUUAUGUUUCUCCCUCCAGAACCCCAGAGCCCUGUAUACAUGGGAGUUGCAAACUCAAGUGCCCCCCAGGAGACUGGCCAGAAAUGCACAAUAAAAAGUGAGGCCAACACCGGGCAAAAUGAAGGACACUUUUCUCUUCUACACCAGCAAUCUGGUUUUGUUUUGUUUUUUUUAAUGUGAAAUCUCUCAACUUUUAAAUUCCAGAGACCAAUGAAGGUAUUUUUUUAAAUGCUACAUAGGCUAAGUCAACUUACAGAGGGCUGGCUUUGGUCAGAGGGCCACCUGUGUGAGCCUCUGUUGGAUGCCCUGUUGGAUGUUGGAUGUGAGAGUCAGCAACACUGGAGAUUAUUUACAUUUUCACCUUCUCUGUGGACUGGGACUCUCUCUGUGCAAUUCUGUAUCUCUGAGACCCUGCAGAGUGGGAAAAUAAAGCAAUUGUUGUGUGCUUUUUCUGCUUUUAAUUAAUGCAUUGAUUUUACAGAUACGUAUUGAUCAUUCCAUGUAUAUGCUAGUCUAGGUGACGUCCGCUUUGCAUCUCUUUUCUAUCUUCUUUCUGCAUCUGCUGCAUCCUAGUGGUUAUAAGCUUAAGCUCUAGUUUCAAAUUGCCUGGGUUCAAAUCCUGGCUCUGUCACUUACUAGCUAAGUGACCUUGGACUUGGGAUUCAGCUUUUUUCCCAAGCCUCAGUUUGCUCGCUUAUGAAAUAGGGGUCAUUAUAGUCUCUCUCACUGUGAGAACUAAAUGAACUGAUGUCAGGAAAUGUUUAGAAUACCCCCUGGCUCCUGUCCAGCUGUUGAUCAUCACCCAUUUGCCACAUUCUUGUUAAAUGCCCUUUAUGGGUUAAGCUUGUUCUUGGCAUUAAGGUUUCUGCUAUAAGCAAAGCGGGGCCCACUCCCACAAAGACUUUCUUACUAAAUUCUCAAAGUAGCCCCAUUUUACAGAUGCAAAAACUGCGGCUCAGGGAGGGAAAGUGACUCUCCUGAGGUCACACAGCUGGUCAGUGUCUGAGAUGGGAUUCCAAUCAAGUACAUCUGUCCUUCCUACAAGAACCCAUGCUUCUUCUGGGUGCA
rnacentral:lncRNA from 1 species